rnacentral:rRNA from 1 species
UACGUAGGAUGCGAGCGUUAUCCGGAUUUAUUGGGUUUAAAGGGUGCGUAGGCGGGAUGCCAAGUCAGCGGUAAAAAUGCGGUGCUCAACGCCGUCGAGCCGUUGAAACUGGCGUUCUUGAGUGGGCGAGAAGUAUGCUGAAUGCGUGGUGUAGCGGUGAAAUGCAUAGAUAUCACGCAGAACUCCGAUUGCGAAGGCAGCAUACCGGCGCCCUACUGACGCUGAGGCACGAAAGCGUGGGUAUCGAACAGG